AUCAGUUCUAGUUAUAAUUAACUAAUACCAACUUCUUUUUACUAAUCAAAAACCAAUACAAACUUAAAUAACUAACUUCAUCAAAAAAUCAAGUCUCUAAGCAACGGAUGUCUUGGCUCCUCACACGAUGAAGAACGUGGCAUAAUGUGUUAAGUAACCGGAGUUGCAAACAUCAUGACAGGUUAAUCUUUGAAUGCAAAUUGCGCUUACCCGGCUUCGGCCGAGGAGCAUGCGUGUAACAGUACAACAUAAUUUAUAAUAAUUCUUAUUCUACGCGAAUAAGCAAAUAAAUUAUAAGACAAACAAUACGUUGUCUGCUAUACGCA
rnacentral:misc_RNA from 1 species